rnacentral:rRNA from 1 species
CCUACGGGAGGCAGCAGUGGGGAAUAUUGGACAAUGGGGGCAACCCUGAUCCAGCCAUGCCGCGUGUGUGAAGAAGGCCCUCGGGUUGUAAAGCACUUUCAGUGAGGAAGAACGCCUGUUGGUUAAUACCCAUCAGGAAAGACAUCACUCACAGAAGAAGCACCGGCUAACUCCGUGCCAGCAGCCGCGGUAAUACGGAGGGUGCGAGCGUUAAUCGGAAUUACUGGGCGUAAAGCGCGCGUAGGUGGCUUGAUAAGCCGGUUGUGAAAGCCCCGGGCUCAACCUGGGAACGGCAUCCGGAACUGUCAAGCUAGAGUGCAGGAGAGGAAGGUAGAAUUCCCGGUGUAGCGGUGAAAUGCGUAGAGAUCGGGAGGAAUACCAGUGGCGAAGGCGGCCUUCUGGACUGACACUGACACUGAGGUGCGAAAGCGUGGGUAGCAAACAGGAUUAGAUACCCUAGUAGUC